UGACUACCAAACUAUUGUAGGCAAAUGAAUUUAUUAUGUAAAGAAAUCUUGGUUAAGUUCUAUCCUUUUGCGGACCCUUCACCAUCACUGGCUACUUGCCAUAUAUAUUAUAAACUGCCAUUAUGUUCUACGUAAAUUAGCCUGCGUCGAGGAAACGUAAUGAAUGGGCGGCUCAGCGUUGUAUGGAAAUAAGACUAGUUAAGUGUCCUUUAGUAAUGCACUCGAUUACUCUAUGUGACGUCGAGAGGACGGAAGAGUAGGAAUGAUGGUAAAGGCAAAAAACAUAUUCGUUCUUUUGACAACACACAGCUCGCAUCGCCUUCAAUUACCCUUGCCAAUGUUGCAAGUGAUGAUGGGUGAGAUGGGAUAGAAAGAGGAGCAAACUUUUAAUCUGAUAUAUCAUUGAUGUAUAGGAAAUGAGAAAUAAAAAUACAACUAGGUUUAUAGUGCAUUCCACUGUAUAAUAUAAAGAUUAGGAUAGAUACACAUGACUUUUGAAGUGCAGAAGUAUAGUCAAGUAGGGAAUAUAGUUGAGUAGAUGCGAGUUGUAGAACAAAACAAUUCAGUAUACGCAAUUUUCCCCUACGGGAACAUAUUUAGGUAUGCGUGCGAAUGGAGAGUGAAGAUGAAUGAAAUGUAGAAAAAAAAAACACUGGAUUGUCAGUUUUGCCAUAAGAUACAUUUACUUUCUUGUUAUUCCAU